rnacentral:rRNA from 1 species
UACGAAGGGGGCUAGCGUUGCUCGGAAUUACUGGGCGUAAAGCGCACGUAGGCGGCUUUUUAAGUCGGGGGUGAAAUCCUGGAGCUCAACUCCAGAACUGCCUUCGAUACUGGAAAGCUCGAGUCCGGGAGAGGUGAGUGGAACUGCGAGUGUAGAGGUGAAAUUCGUAGAUAUUGGGAAGAACACCGGUGGCGAAGGCGGCGCUCUGGACCGAGACUGACGCUGAGGCGCGAAAGCGUGGGAGCA